UACAGAGGGUGCAAGCGUUGCUCGGAAUCAUUGGGCGUAAAGGGCAGGUAGGUGGUCUGAUGUGUCUGGCGGGAAAAGCCUUGGGCUUAACCCAAGAAGUGCCCCGGAAACGGUCAGACUUUGAGUCUUGGAGAGGGUUGCGGAAUUCCCGGUGUAGCGGUGAAAUGCGUAGAGAUCGGGAGGAACACCAGCGGCGAAGGCGGCACCCUGGACAAGCACUGACACUCAGCUGCGAAAGCGUGGGGAGCAAACAGG
rnacentral:rRNA from 1 species